rnacentral:rRNA from 1 species
AGUGAACGCUGGCGGCAGGCCUAAUACAUGCAAGUCGAGCGAGCGGCGGACGGGUGAGUAAUGUCUGGGAACCUGCCUGAUGGAGGGGGAUAACUACUGGAAACGGUAGCUAAUACCGCAUACAAUCAGAUGUGCCCAGUUGUGAUUAGCUGGUCGGUGGGGUAAUGGCUCACCUAGGCGACGAUCCCUAGCUGGUCUGAGAGGAUGAACAGCCACACCGGGACUGGGACGCGGUCCAGACUCCGACGGGAGGCAGCAGAAGGGAAUAUUGCGCAAUGGGCGCAAGCCUGAUGCAGCCAUGGGGCGUGUAUGAAGAAGGCCUUCGGGUUGUAAAGUACUUUCGUUCAAGAUGCGUUACUCACAGAAGAAGCACCGGCUAACUCCGUGCCAGCAGCCGCGGUAAUAC